rnacentral:lncRNA from 1 species
CUGACACCCAAUAAGUUUAUCGUCUAAUGCAAUUUAAUGAACUGUCAACUUUUCUUCCUGGCAUGAAAACCAUAUUUUCCUCAGAGGUUUCUACUCAAAUUCUUUCCAAUUUUACCCUUGUUGCUUUAUUGAUUCUGCAGUCUGCUUGGGAAGCUGAGGCUAGUUUUAUUUAAAGAAACGCACCAGUAAAUCCAGCUGACCCGCUGAAAUCCAGCUGAAGAGCCGAAGCUCCUCAAGGCUGCAGUGUGGGAGAUGAUCACAAACUGGUGUGAAGAGAGACGGAGACUCAGAGCUCUGCUCCCAGGAGGAGGCAGCAGCGGUGGUGGGACCAGGUGUGUGAGCCCAGCACCACCCAGCACUCGCCCCUGGGCUUCAGGUAGGCACCCUGUGCUCCUGUCUGUCCCCAAAGUGUCUCUGUUGACGGAGGU